rnacentral:snRNA from 1 species
UCAAUCUGCAUCAAAACUCCU